rnacentral:rRNA from 1 species
UAGGGAAUCUUCGGCAAUGGACGAAAGUCUGACCGAGCAACGCCGCGUGAGUGAAGAAGGUUUUCGGAUCGUAAAACUCUGUUGUUAGAGAAGAACAAGGACGUUAGUAACUGAACGUCCCCUGACGGUAUCUAACCAGAAAGCCACGGCUAACUACGUGCCAGCAGCCGCGGUAAUACGUAGGUGGCAAGCGUUGUCCGGAUUUAUUGGGCGUAAAGCGAGCGCAGGCGGUUUCUUAAGUCUGAUGUGAAAGCCCCCGGCUCAACCGGGGAGGGUCAUUGGAAACUGGGAGACUUGAGUGCAGAAGAGGAGAGUGGAAUUACAUGGGUAGCGGUGAAAUGAGUAGAUAUAUGGAGGAACACCAGUGGCGAAGGCGACUCUCUGGUCUGUAACUGACGCUGAGGCUCGAAAGCGUGGGGAGCAAACAGG